UACGGAGGGGGCAAGCGUUAUUCGGAAUUAUUGGGCGUAAAGGGCGCGUAGGCGGCUAGAUGUGUCAAAGGUGAAAUCCCUCGGCUCAACUGAGGAACUGCCUUUGAAACUGUCUGGCUUGAGGCCGGGAGAGGGUAGCGGAAUUCCCAGUGUAGCGGUGAAAUGCGUAGAUAUUGGGAGGAACACCAGUGGCGAAGGCGGCUCACUGGACCGGUACUGACGCUGAGGCGCGAAAGCGUGGGGAGCAAACGGG
rnacentral:rRNA from 1 species